rnacentral:lncRNA from 1 species
CGCUUCCACCGCCCAUGCCUGUGCCUCUACCGAGCAUGAUAGUUUAGUUUAGCUUGAAGUGUGUGUGGUGGAGAGAGUGAAGUGGUGUUUGGGAUUGGAUGGAGUAAGGAGUUUGUAUGUGAAUGUGUGCAGGUAAAGUUAUCUCGGCUGUCUAUCCCUUUAGAAUUUGAAUUUGUGGAGACUUUUUUAUGGAUGUCAUUGUGCUUGGUUGGGCAUUCCAUACGGCAAUAAACAAUGCCAAGUCUCCGUUUGUAUAUAUAUAUAUAUAUAUAUAUAUAUAUAUAUAUAUAUAAAAAGCUUCUGAAUUUUAUCUCUUUUACUUUAUUCUUCCUUUUAAAUGCUCCUUUCAAUCGUUACUGUUCAAGUCUUUUUCAGCUUCUUUAUGCGGGGAAGUCUUGUAAAGAUGGAAGUUGUUGGCUAUUAUUAGUUUGCACUCUUCCCUCUUUUUUUCGCUUUCUUUCUUUAUUUUUAGUGGGAAGUUAUUACUAACACACGCACACACUUUUCUCUCUCCCCACCCUCCACCUCAGCCGACUAGCCUCUCACCGCCAGCAGCACAGUCCACAAACCACCGAGAUAGCAUCCACCAAAUCCAAAUCAAAUAGCCCAGACCCAACAACCCUUCCUCCUUGGUUUUUUUAUCACCGACGACGAGCACAACCGGACCACCCACUACACAUGCAACAACUCGUCACAAUCCGGGAAUGCCCAUGCCGAAAGGAAGACUAGGAAUAGGAGCACCGGGCAGAGUGAUUUGCACGCCGCCACUGCUUCCCAUUGUUUCAACCUUUUCUGGGCCACCUCAUCCACUUCAAAAGAUCAAUUUCAACCCUGAUGCAUUGAUUUCUCUAUUUUGGAUCAUCUGUAUUACGUCUUUGGUUUAAGUGUGUUAAAUAACGUGCGUUGCAUUGGUUUCUUGUGUCGAAUGAUUUGUGCUUACGUUGUAGAUCUUACAUGGGAUGUUUUGAUUUUUAUAUGCAGGUCAUUUAAUUCUGUGAGAUGAUUUAUUAUUAUUUUUUUAUUCCAUGUGCGGAGUCGUUGAUUAUGAUUGGAUGCAGGCGAUAAUUCUCGUAGAUAAUCAGUUAUUUAUAUAUGAUAUUGAUUUUAUUUAUAUAAAUAUAUUUUAAAAAAA